rnacentral:rRNA from 1 species
GUGGGGAAUCUUAGACAAUGGGGGAAACCCUGAUCUAGCCAUGCCGCGUGAUCGAUGAAGGCCUUAGGGUUGUAAAGAUCUUUCAGGUGGGAAGAUAAUGACUGUACCACCAGAAGAAGCCCCGGCUAACUCCGUGCCAGCAGCCGCGGUAAUACGGAGGGGGCUAGCGUUGUUCGGAAUUACUGGGCGUAAAGCGCACGUAGGCGGAUUGGAAAGUUGGGGGUGAAAUCCCGGGGCUCAACCCCGGAACUGCCUUCAAAACUCCCAGUCUUGAGUUCGAGAGAGGUGAGUGGAAUUCCGAGUGUAGAGGUGAAAUUCGUAGAUAUUCGGAGGAACACCAGUGGCGAAGGCGGCUCACUGGCUCGAUACUGACGCUGAGGUGCGAAAGCGUGGGGAGCAAACAGGAUUAGAAACCCGUGUAGUCC